rnacentral:rRNA from 1 species
UUUUUUCAGGUUGACCUCGGAUCAGGUAGGGAUACCCGCUGAACUUAAGCAUAUCAUAAGGCCG